CCUGAACGAAACAUGGGCGUCGGCUAAGGAUUACUGCCGCACUAAUUACACUGACCUCGCCAUGAUAGAGAAUGAAGAAGAGAACCAGCUGGCUUCCUCCAACGUUACUGAUCCUGCAUGGAUCGGUCUCUCCAGAAGGGCCUGGACGUAUUCUGAAGCCACCAAACAAUCCUUUAGGCACUGGUGGAGCUAUGAGCCCGAUAACCGUUCAGGGAAACAGUUUUGUGCAUCGGUGUAUAGAAAUGGAUUUAGCGACAUGGAUUGCACCUCAGAGUUACCCUUUCUUUGCUCAGAUGGUAUAGCUCGGAAACAGAGCAGAAUAAAGAUAAUGAUCCAGUCUAACUUGGACCUGACAAACCAAUACAAUAAGGACAGCAUGCUACAACAACUGUCUGCAUCUCUGACCAGAGCCGGACAGACUGACUUCAACCUGAGCUGGAGCACUCCGGCACAAAAACUAGAUCCAACGGGCUUGAACGAUGACCACCAAUAAUGACUAUAUUAAUUAUGAAUGCAUUCAUUAAUGUAAUACAUUGAUUAUACUAAGGUUGUCAACAACGGGACCCUGUUUCUGUGAAUGAACUCAAUCAAUUUUCCCUACAUUUUAUGUGUGCAAAUGCAUAAUGAAGCAAUAAUCUUUCAACGUUGACAACAUGUGAUCUAUUAUCCACAUUGACCAUGUAUAGUAAAGUGUGGCUUAGUUCAUAGGAUGAGCCAAUUGGUUCAUGCAGCAAUUUAUUUUCUCUGAGUCAUCAUAAUAAUGAUUAUAAAUUGUUAAUGGAAUCAUUAUGAGAAUAACUACUUAUUGAAUAGACAGAAUUUAGCCAUUUAUGUUGAUUUUAAUCAGAAAAAUAAUAGAAUAACAAAAAAGUGCAAUAGUUGAUAGUAUAGUUCAAUAAUGCAGUCGUUUAUGUUGCAAAUGUGGGGGUCUUGUUUUUAGGGACACUAUUCUGAUUAAUAAGCAAAAAAGGGUGUUUUUUUGGAAUGUGGCCUUAAAUUACUUUUGGUACGUUAUACAAAUUUCACUAUGUUACCAGUGGCCCUGAUGAUGUUACUCUGUACGCCAAUAUUUAACUGUUAUUACACUUACAAUACAAAGGGCACUAUACUUACUUUUUGUAACCCUGGCCUAAAUCAUUAAAGUUUGUUUUAUUAUUUACAUACAUUGAUUUGUUUAGAUCUUAAAGUGCCUAACGUUGUUAAUUUGCAUUUGGCCUAAAACAAACAAAGAGGGAGUUAAUUAGUAGAUGCACCUGCUGAAGGGGGCUUUCCAGCCUCAAGCAGGCCGGCAAAGUCCCUCUGCCCUGUGUCAGAGGCAAUGGAUUCAAUGACCAUCGGCUGUGUGUUUUUUGAUUUAAGAGUGUAUUUCUUAUAGUCAAACAAUAACAAUUGUACAUUUAUCCAUACAAUUAUAUAACACAUUGGAUGUUGCAUAAAUAUUUAAAUUCAAG
ensembl:lncRNA